rnacentral:pre_miRNA from 1 species
GGGGGGAGGUCGCGUGCUGGGCGGUGUCCCUGGCGCCCAGUGCCCCCGGGCCUGCACUGUUGGAUUCUCGCUCCUGGCCACGCAGCCCCCU